UACGAAGGGGCUAGCGUUGCUCGGAAUCACUGGGCGUAAAGGGUGCGUAGGCGGGUCUUUAAGUCAGGGGUGAAAUCCUGGAGCUCAACUCCAGAACUGCCUUUGAUACUGAAGAUCUUGAGUUCGGGAGAGGUGAGUGGAACUGCGAGUGUAGAGGUGAAAUUCGUAGAUAUUCGCAAGAACACCAGUGGCGAAGGCGGCUUACUGGUCCGGUUCUGACGCUGAGGCACGAAAGCGUGGGGAUCAAACAGG
rnacentral:rRNA from 1 species